GACGUAGGGGGCGAACGUUAUCCGGAAUUAUUGGGCGUAAAGGAUGCGUAGAUGGUGUAGUAAGUUAUCGGUGGUAAAUCGAGGCUCAACCUCGUGGAAGUCGGUAAUACUGCUAUGCUAGAGGAUAGGAGAGGUUAACGGAACUCCCUGUGGAGCGGUGAAAUGCGUAGAUAUAGGGAAGAACACCAAUAAGGCGAAGGCAGUUAACUAUUCUAUUCCUGACAUUGAGGCAUGAAAGCGUGGGGAGCAAAACGG
rnacentral:rRNA from 1 species